UGACAACACCCUCUAGAAGCCACACAAUCUUUAGAUAGAACGGACAACGGAGUGCGAGGAGGUGUGAUUCACUGCCAUUUGCCAUAUAAUAUGCUUCGUCAAGGACAAGGUAUGGGUGUGGACGAAUAGAAAAAUCUUAUAUACGUCUCAUCUAUCUUGCUUCAUCUCUGUUAGACAAUCUUGUGCUAUAUGUUCUGGUGAUAACAAAUGGAAUUGUCUUCGAUUGGUUUCAAUUUCUUAUCCAGAAUCUUCUUGCGAAUGAAACUUUGAGUAUUGGAAAUGUUGGUGUAUACCUCCCUGAACCGGUAUUUUCACACAUGCUAUGUUGCACUUUCUAGAGCUACAUCUAGAAGUACUAUAAAGAUUCUUACUCUCUCAGAUAAGCAAAAGGAAGGUCAAUCCAACUCCAUUGCAAUUUUACAAAGAAAUGGUCUACAAAGAAGUCUCAGUGUGUAGUCCAAGGUCUGAAUCAAGUACAAUUUGGUGGCUGUAAAAAAUCAUUCUAUCUAAUAGGGUCAUUCAUCUAAAAUUGUUUCCCAUGUACGGUUCUGAAGUUUGUGCAGAGGGCUUUCAGAAAAAAUAACUUUAGAUACUUGCUUUGAUAUUUUUGUAAAAAAGUGUACAUGUAUUUGAAUAGUUUUUUUGGUAGUCUUUAUUACUCUCUCUGUUCAAAAAAAAAUCGUAUGACGCUUACAGCAGGUCUCUUUGUCAUCGGCGCCCCUCCUUUGGUUGGUAGCUCCACAUCUAAUUUAUCAGGUCACACCCAAAAUAUGUUUUUCCUUGAUGUCUGUUAGCUGCAGUUUUUUUUGCAGAAACUUGGUUGAUGUAAGAAAGUUAAAAGAGGCCUGGUGCAGUUUUUUUUGUGUGUAUACAUGCACACUCGCCCCUUCUAUAUACAGAUGAUUUGAGGUAUACUGUGCAGAUGAUUCCAUGGCGUGAUCUAAGCCUUUCCAAGGAAAGAAGCAAUUCUCUGUUGAAGUAGUUCUAAGGCUGGACAUAAUUAUAUGUAUUUCUUUUCACCCAUAAAAAAUAAUAAUUAUAUGUAUUAUAGACCGCAGGCUGUGCUGGAAAUUUGGGAGAUAUGAUGUCGGUGCGUUCGUCGCAUCUUUCAGAAUUCAGUGUUAUCGGUUGUGAAGCUCGCACGCCUCACAAUUGACGAAGCCAAUGUUGGAAGGACGCUGACACAUGGCACAUCGUUUUACAUAUUAGUCUAGCUUGGCGAGCCCCGGUCAUUUUGUUUGUACUUGUAUAUACUCUCUUCUGCGUGCAAGUUCUGUAUAAGUGUUUUUUUUUUGUGUGUGUUUUCUUUUUUCAAGCGAGUUAUCUUGGCCAGUUGCUGAUGGCAAUAUGUUUGUUAGACUAUAAUUCACUUAGAAAACUAUUUUAGCAAUAUUUAAUCAUGGUUGAUCAUCCUUGUAGUACUGCAGGUUGCUAUUUUCAGGACA